AAUGAUGAAGAUUCCAAAAGCGGUUCCGGUUUUGAUCACAACUCUGUUUUGUACUCGGUUUUGGGUGGUUUCAGGUGGUGGCUCGGCUAUGAUGCUGAAGUUUGCAAAAACAAUGGCUCAGGAACACUGUAUCUUCGCAUAAUCGUUUGUAUUGGUUCAGCAAGUAUCUCCCAGCAUUGGUUCAAGUCUUCGCUCAAGCGAGCUUUGUUGACCUGAAGCUUCCCAAUUCCUUGAAGCUUUGGUUGAAGAGCAUGGCCGGACUGACUUUGGAUGUUAUAACAGUGGAAGUUACGACGAGACAAAAGAGGUUAUUGCAUUUACUUUCCUUAUAGUUUCAUCUCAUCAAUUCAAUACUUCUCUGAACUUUUUCUCAUAUUUCACAGAUAAUAAAAAUGGCCUCAGCCUCAGCAGCAUCUCCAUCUACAAUCACUGUUGUAGGAAGCUCAGUCACCGGUUCCAAAUCAAGGAACAACAGGAAGGGUCAUAACGUGAGGUUCAUCACAGCACUCAAUUCUUUUAACGGAUUGCAAGCUCAGCACAAAACUGUGGCAUCACUAGGAGUUCCUGUUUCCAGUGAACUGGCUUUUGCAAAAAGUGAGGAGUUCAAUAUAUAACGGAGGAAGAAGUGGUAGAGGUGGUGGUGCGCUCGCUUCAAAAUGCAAUGUUGCAGGAAUAUGAAACAUUAAACAUUAUUACAUGAUUUUCGAGUCUUGGCUCUUGUCUCAAUGAAGUGAUACGCAUUCGCCUGUCGCCGGUUCUCAUGACGAUUUGAGAGGUCGGUAGAGGUGUACUUGUAUAUUUGCGCGGACAUGAAGGUAGGGGUAUUGGAUUGGGCCACAAGCUCCGUGCUUAAAACCUACAGGAUGAUGGGCGCGAUACCGUAGAAGCCAAUGAGGAGUUGGGAUUGCCUGUUGACUCUAGGGAGUAUGGCAUUGGUGCG